UAGCUCAUUUUAGCAGCACAUAUACUAAACUAGGAACAAUACAGAGAUUAGCAUGGCUCUGUGCAAGGAUGAGACACAAAUGUGUGAAAUGCUCCAUGUCUUG
ensembl:snRNA U6 U6 spliceosomal RNA